UUAUUCGCCAUUUGUGUACAUGUCAAAUAAAGAAUUGUUUAGAAUAGGAUACAACUCAUCAAUUUGGAUGAAACCGAAACAUUUCGUCGAAACAAACAUUCUGGACAACUUUUUACUACAUCUACAUACACCUGUCACUCGACGUUAGUUUUCAAGUUCGAUAAAGAAGAUCGGAGACGUAUAAAAUGGAUGUCAGCCGCAAUAUUCUGGGAGGAUUCCAAU